rnacentral:lncRNA from 1 species
AUGCUCAAAAUUCUCCAAGCCAGGCUUCAGCAGUAUGCGAACCGUGAACUUCCAGAUGUUCAAGCUGAUUUUAGAAAAGGCAGAGGAACCAGAGAUCAAAUUGCCAACAUCCGCUGGAUCAUGGAAAAAGCAAGAGAUUUCCAGAAAAACAUCUAUUUCUGCUUUGUUGACUAUGCCAAAGCCUUUGACUGUGUGGAUCACAAUAAACUGAGGAAAAUUCUGAAAGAGAUGGGAAUACCAGACCACCUGACCUGCCUCUCAAGAAACCGAUAUGCUGGUCAGGAAGCAACAGUUAGAACUGGACAUGGAAUAACAGACUGGUUCCAAAUAGGAAAAGGAGUCCGUCAAGGCUGUAUAUUGUCACCCUGCUUGUUUAACUUCUAUGCAGAGUACAUCAUAAGAAAUGCUGGGCUGGAAGAAGCACAAGCUGAAAUCAAGAUUGCUGGGAGAAAUAUCAAUAACCUCAGAUACGCAGAUGACACCACCCUUAUGGCAGAAAGUGAAGAGGUAUUAAAAAGCCUCUUGAUGAAAGUGAAAGAGAAGAGUGAAAAAGUUGGCUUAAAGCUCAACAUUCAGAAAACGAAGAUCAUGGCAUCUGGUCCCAUCACUUUAUGGGAAAUUGAUGGGGAAACAGUGGAAACAGUGUCUCACUUUAUUUUGGGGGGCUCCAAAAUCACUGCAGAUGGUGACUGCAGCCAUGAAAUUAAAAGACGCUUACUCCUUGGAAGGAAAGUUAUGACCAACCUAGAUAGCAUAUUCAAAAGCAGAGACAUUACUUUGCCAACAAAGGUCUGUCUAGUCAAGGCUAUGGUUUUUCCAGUAGUCGUGUAUGGAUGUGAGAGUUGGACUGUGAAGAAGGCUGAGUGCCGAAGAAUUGAUGCUUUUGAACUGUGGUGUUGGAGAAGACUCUUGAGAGUCCCUUGGACUGCAAGGAGAUCCAACCAGUCCAUUCUAAAGAAGAUCAGUUCUGGGUGUUCUUUGGAGGGAAUGAUGUUAAAGUUGAAACUCCAGUACUUUGGCCACCUCAUUCGAAGAAUUGACUCAUUGGAAAAGACUGUAAUGCUGGGAGGGAUUGAGGGCAGGAGGAGAAGGGGACGACAGAGGAUGAGAUGGCUGGAUGGCAUCACCAACUCGAUGGACAUGAGUUGA